AAAAUUUUUGUAGCUUUUGGAGAUUGCACAAGUUCCUGAUGCGCAUGUGAAUGAAUUCAAAUCAAUUGAGAAGUUCAAGAUUUUCAACACCAACAACCUAUGGGUGAACUUGAAGGCCAUCAAGACUCAAGAGGUCUGUUGAAGCUGAUCUCUGAAAAUAGGGAUUAUUCCAAACCCCAAGGAAGUGGUUGGCGUGAAAGUUCUUCAAUUGGAAACAGUAGCUGGAGCAGCCAUUCGGGUAAGGAUGAGCGGU